UACCUGCCGGAUCGGCAGGCAGCGAUCGAUCCAGCGGGGGUCGAUUUAUCGCGUCUAGUAUAGACACGAUAUAUCGACCGCUGAACGCUCUCCCAUCGACUCCGGUACUCCACCUGAAUGAGGCGCGCAAGCGGAGUUGACGGAAGAGUGUCAGCGAUCAACUUAACUUCAGUGAAGACACUGCAGGCCUUCCAUCUGAGGAGCUCAUUUACAAACAUGAUUUAAACCUCACAAUAUUCCUGUGAGACAGAUAGUGUAAUGAUUGGCUAAAAACAGCAUGAGGAAAACUACAGGAUUAGACCCUUCUUCCUACCCAUAUCCUCCUUCAUACAGGAUACCGGUGACCCAUUCUCCCUGAUCAGAAUUAGUGAUGAAUGUGGGUUGCAUAGACAAAU